rnacentral:rRNA from 1 species
UACGGAGGAUGCAAGCGUUAUCCGGAAUGCUUGGGCGUAAAGCGUCCGCAGGUGGCUAUGUAAGUCUGCUGUUAAAGAGUGAGGCUCAACCUCAUAAGAGCAGUGGAAACUACAUGGCUAGAGUGCGUUCGGGGCAGAGGGAAUUCCUGGUGUAGCGGUGAAAUGCGUAGAGAUCAGGAAGAACACCGGUGGCGAAAGCGCUCUGCUAGGCCGCAACUGACACUCAUGGACGAAAGCUAGGGGAGCGAAUGGG